rnacentral:rRNA from 1 species
UACAGAGGUCUCAAGCGUUGUUCGGAUUCAUUGGGCGUAAAGGGUGCGUAGGCGGCGGGGCAAGUCAGGUGUGAAAUCCCGGGGCUCAACCCUGGAACUGCACUUGGUACUGCUUUGCUAGAGUACUGGAGAGGAGAUUGGAAUUUACGGUGUAGCAGUGAAAUGCGUAGAUAUCGUAAGGAAGACCAGUGGCGAAGGCGAAUCUCUGGACAGUUACUGACGCUGAGGCACGAAAGCUAGGGGAGCAAACGGG